rnacentral:rRNA from 1 species
AGAGUUUGAUCAUGGCUCAGGACGAACGCUGGCGGCGUGCUUAACACAUGCAAGUCGAGCGGAAAGGCCCUUCGGGGUACUCGAGCGGCGAACGGGUGAGUAACACGUGAGCAACCUGCCCCUGGCUCUGGGAUAGCCUCCGGAAACGGGGAUUAAUACCGGAUAUGACGCUGCCCUGCAUGGGGUGGUGUGGAAAGUUU